rnacentral:lncRNA from 1 species
GUUCUUUAGUUUUUUCAUCCACUUUACAAGCAAACAUAAACAAACUUGCUUCUAGAGCAAGAAAAUGUGCCUUUUUAGGUUAUAAAUCUGGCAUGAAGGGAGUUGUCUUGCUUGAUAUAAUUACAAAGGAAAUUUUUGUUUCUAGAAAUAUUACACAUCAUGAAAAUAUCUUUCCUUAUCAACCUGUAUCAUCCCCACCUCUUUGGAACUACUACUCCAGCAUACCUUCAAAAUCAUUAGAUCAAAAUCUUGAUUCCAAUUCUUCUGUUUGCAAUGAUUUUACUUCUUCUGACCAAAAUUCUCCAACACAAACAUCCCUUGAUAUGCACAUUGAUAAUGCACCUAACCCUGAUAUUACAGACACUUCUUUACCAUCAAUUUCCAAACCUGCCAGAAUUAGAAAUGCACCUUCUUAUCUGACAGAUUAUGUAUGUAAUUCUUCAUCUGCUUUUGCAUCCGCACCAAAAUCCUCAGGUACUCUUUACCCUAUUGCAUCAUAUCAUUCUUAUGCACAUCUAUCAUCAUCCCAAAAGUCUUUUUCUAUGUCUGUCACACAAUGUACUGAGCCAAAAACCUACAAAGAAGCUAGUCAGUCUGAAUGUUGGUUAAAAGCUAUGGAUUCUGAAUUAGAAGCAUUAGCUAAGAAUGGAACUUGGUCUAUUGUUGAUCUUCCUCACAAUGUGAAGCCUAUUGGUAGUAAGUGGGUUUAUAAAAUUAAGCACAAGGCAGAUGGCAGUAUAGAAAGAUACAAAGCUAGACUGGUGGCUAAAGGAUAUAAUCAAGUUGAAGGAGUUGAUUUUUUUGAUACUUUUUCACCAGUAGCCAAGCUUACCACAGUGAGAAUUUUACUUGCCAUAGCUUCAAUCAAAAACUGGCAUUUACAUCAGUUGGAUGUAAAUAAUGCUUUUCUACAUGGUGAUUUGCAAGAGAAUGUUUACAUGAAUAUACCAGAAGGUGUCUCUAGUGCACCAAACAAGGUUUGCAAAUUACAUAAGAGCCUAUAUGGUUUGAAGCAAGCAAGUAGGAAAUGGUAUGAGAAGUUGACAUCUUUAUUGAUAGCAGAAGGGUAUACACAGUCACCAUCAGACUAUUCACUUUUCACCAUUCAACAAGGUUCUAAUUUUACUGCCUUAUUAGUAUAUGUAGAUGACAUUAUUCUUGCUGGUUCAUCUAUCACUGAAUUCACUAGAAUCAAAGCUAUACUUGAUGCUCAUUUCAAGAUCAAAGAUUUGGGAAUUCUAAAGUAUUUUUUAGGAUUAGAGGUUGCUCAUUCCAAAGAGGGGAUCUCUAUUUCUCAAAGAAAGUACUGUCUUGACCUAUUGGAUUCUUCUGGACUUUUAGCUUCUAAACCUGCUUCUACUCCUCUGGAUACUUCCAUCAAAUUGCACCAAGACAAUAGCAAACCUUUUGCUGAUGUGUCUUGUUACAGGAGACUCAUUGGAAGACUUCUCUAUCUCAAUACUACAAGACCAGAUAUCACACUAGCAACUCAACAACUCAGUCAGUUUUUAAAUGCUCCUACUGUAUCGCAUUACAAAGCUGCUUGUAGGGUCAUCAGAUACUUGAAACAUAACCCUGGACUUGGUUUAUUCUUUCCUAGACAUUCUGAUUUACAAAUCCUUGGUUAUGUAGAUGCUGAUUGGGCUGGUUGUAUUGAUUCUAGAAGAUCAACAACAGGUUUUUGUUUCUUCUUAGGUUCAUCAUUGAUCUCAUGGCGUGCAAAGAAACAAGCAACUAUUUCUAGGUCAUCCUCAGAAGCAGAGUAUAGAGCACUUUCUACUGGCACAUGUGAACUUCAGUGGCUGCUAUAUCUCUUGAAAGAUUUACAAGUUACUUGCAUCAGACAACCUGUGUUAUACUGUGAUAGUCAGAGUGCAAUUCACAUAGCUUCCAAUCCAGUAUUUCAUGAGAGAACUAACCAUUUGGAAAUAGAUUGCCAUCUUGUCAGAGAAAAGGUACAAAAAGGAAUACUAAGGUUGCUUCCUAUAUCUACUGAAGAACAGCUUGCAGAUUUCCUUACAAAACCUCUGUCACCUCCAAAGUUCAAUUCUUUUGUAUCCAAGCUUGGAAUGAUAAAUAUUUAUCAUGCUCCAGCUUGUGGGAGGAUAUUGAAGAAUAACACAGAUCAUAUGGAAACACAAAUGAUCAAAGAUAAAGAGAAGGAACAUACUACACACUAGUAACUUGUGCAACAAAGUUAACUAAACUCUUAGCUAGUUUUAUUGUUCUAACAACCUACAAAGUUAGUUACAACUAGAGUUACAAUCAUAUAUGUAAGAUUCAUAUUAGCUUAGUGUGCACUAUCUUAUGAUACACUAUAAAUAAAGGUUCUCUUGUAAUCUCUAUUCAUUCAAUGAAACCCAUAGUUUCUUUUCCAUUUUUCUCUUUCUGUUAUUUUCUCUUUCUUUUCUGUUACAAUUCAGUUUCUCAAC